CCCCUGUUAAAGAUCAACAAUGGUGGAUAUACAAUGCGGGAUGCUGUGUAGUACAUACUACGUACAUCAUUAACAGAGUUUUGACACCUGUAUACCUGUAUUUCUACCAAUCACCUCUGUAACCUUUGUUGUAAUCGUCAGACAGAUGAUGGACCACUCUACAUUCUUUUAUAACAGAUUCCCCUACAGAUUCACAAAGUUCCAAUGUUGAAUUUCCAUGACCCCUAUUCAUCCAUGACAGAAAAAGGAAUAAAGUUGACAGGACUUUCAUCACUGCCCUUUAACUGGUAGCAGUUUACGUUUAGACAGCAGAAGACAUAGCCAGUUUCA